rnacentral:rRNA from 1 species
AUGGAGUGCUUGCACUCCUGAUGGUUAGCGGCGGACGGGUGAGUAACACGUAGGUAACCUGCCCAUAAGACUGGGAUAACCCACGGAAACGUGAGCUAAUACCAGAUAGGCAUUUUCCUCGCAUGAGGGAGAUGAGAAAGGCGGAGCAAUCUGCCACUUAUGGAUGGACCUGCGGCGCAUUAGCUAGUUGGUAAGGUAACGGCUUACCAAGGCGACGAUGCGUAGCCGACCUGAGAGGGUGAUCGGCCACACUGGGACUGAGACACGGCCCAGACUCCUACGGGAGGCAGCAGUAGGGAAUCUUCCGCAAUGGACGAAAGUCUGACGGAGCAACGCCGCGUGAGUGAUGAAGGUUUUCGGAUCGUAAAGCUCUGUUGCCAGGGAAGAACGCCUAGGAGAGUAACUGCUCUUAGGGUGACGGUACCUGAGAAGAAAGCCCCGGCUAACUACGUGCCAGCAGCCGCGGUAAUACGUAGGGGGCGAGCGUUGUCCGGAAUUAUUGGGCGUAAAGCGCGCGCAGGCGGCAAUGUAAGUUGGGUGUUUAAACCUAGGGCUCAACCUUGGGUCGCAUCCAAAACUGCAUAGCUUGAGUACAGAAGAGGAAAGUGGAAUUCCACGUGUAGCGGUGAAAUGCGUAGAUAUGUGGAGGAACACCAGUGGCGAAGGCGACUUUCUGGGCUGUAACUGACGC